rnacentral:rRNA from 1 species
UACGUAGGGUGCGAGCGUUGUCCGGAAUUAUUGGGCGUAAAGGGCUCGUAGGCGGUUUGUCGCGUCGGGAGUGAAAUCCACUGGCUUAACUGGUGGCUUGCUUUCGAUACGGGCAGACUGGAGGUAUGCAGGGGGAGAACGGAAUUCCUGGUGUAGCGGUGAAAAUGCGCAGAUAUCAGGAGGAACACCGGUGGCGAAGGCGGUUCUCUGGGCAUGUCCUGACGCUGAGGAGCGAAAGUGUGGGGAGCGAACAGG